CGGAUUUCUGAUUGAAUAGCUCUGGAAUGGGAAGAAGACUUCACAUUUCCAACAAGAUCCCAGGUGCUGUUAAGGUCUUUGUUCAGGGACCACACUUUGGAAGACAUUGACCAGGAUCAUGAGUUCCUUAAGGAAUCUUUGCGUUUGAACCAAAAUCUAGCUCGAAUCCACAGACUCAAUGAAGCUCUCAUGCCAACAGUACGGAGUAUAAUGCUCACUGGAGUGGGAGAAAGAAGGGUCGAAUAGAGGUCUCGCAAGAGGAAUUGAGUCUAACCCCAUAGGACAGGUUGGUUUAAGUGCUGUGGACUCCACCCCAAGCUACAAAGGUCAUGUGACUGAGGAUGGCCAAUCACACCUCCUUCCUGACUUAGGGUGGUUUAGAUGUUGUGACUUCACCUCCAGCUACAAUGGGCAUGUGACUCAGGAUGGCCAUUCACAGCUCCUUCCUACCUUAGAGCUUCACAGAUGUCAUGUGGCUACAUGGGAACCAAUGGGACAGAUGCGUCAUAGACUUUCACUGGCUUUUUCGAUGGAAAAACAUGCUCUCUUAUUGGAGAUUCCACGGGUCAGGAAGUCAGACAAGGCAUGGUGGGUAAUGAAUUGUCUCUAG
rnacentral:lncRNA from 13 species